rnacentral:rRNA from 1 species
UACGUAGGCAGCAAGCGUUGUUCGGAGUUACUGGGCGUAAAGGGCGCGUAGGCGGGUGCUCAAGUCCGUGGUGAAAUCCUCCGGCUCAACCGGAGAACUGCCUCGGAUACUGGGUGCCUCGAGGGUGGUAGGGGUAUGCGGAACUAUCGGUGGAGCGGUGAAAUGCGUUGAUAUCGAUAGGAACUCCGGUGGCGAAGGCGGCAUACUGGACCACCUCUGACGCUGAGGCGCGAAAGCCAGGGGAGCAAACGGG